GUUUAUUAAAAAAUUCCUGAUAGUGAAAGAUACUUAAGAACAGCAAAGGAAGUCCUGCCCUGUGGCCACGAUUAGAUGCUUCAGUACUGUCACUUCUAUUAUUCAUAUUAAAAUUGACAAAAUGAAUGAGAAAGUUAGCAAUGCACUUAACCAGCCCUUCCCAAGGAAUGCAGCAUAAGUACCAGUAGAUCCCUAGUUCACUUCACUCCAGGUUACAUUUGGAUGGUGUCCUUUUGGAUGAUGUCUUUAUGGUCUGCUUGGCUCUGAUUUCGUCUUAAUUUCAAAGAUCAUGUUCUUAGCCUCACGGUGGGGCACUCAUAAUAUAGACACUUGUAUGCCAACUUCUUCCAAAUUCAGUCGCUGCUAUACCAGUGUCAGAUACUGUCUACACCAGCAAAUUGAAAACUACCGCAUCAGUAACUGACACACAUUGAAAGAAACUCCAGUCUACAAAACCUUUGCACUCUAUGUGAGGUACAGUUGAGGCCGAUGUGAUACUGGGCUCAUUGUCAGUUCCAUCAGUGUUGAAGACUGCCUGCAAGUUGCUUACUGGGAAUAAAGAAAAGUGUCCUUCUGUAUGUUUGGAGUUUUCACAUCAUACGUUUGGAGAAUUAAUUGUUGAUAGUGCAUGAUUUCUCUCACCCAGGUCCAAAGAGCAUAACUUUUUGUGCCCUUACUCUCUUUUUUGACCCAAUCCAAAUUCCUACUUUUCGCAUAUGGUUUAUAUCACUGAGAAAAUGAAAACCUUUGGGCUAAAAAAAAAAAAAAGAAAUUGAGAAGUAAAAUGUGGGUCAGAUGUUUCAUAGGUGUCCAUUUAAUAUAUAUGUACAAAAGCCAGUAUAUUUGAAUUAGGUGAGUAGGUUCUUAGUUUCUUGAUUUCUACAUGUGUCUGCCUAUGUGCAAAUAGAGUAUGUUAUUUACUAUAUGGUUAUUGUGGUAUAAUGUGCAAAUUUCAGUGUGUGCAUUAUCCUGAUUAUUGAACAUUAUUAUCUCUCUAUCAGGAAUAAACUUGCACAUGAAACAUUUUUUUUUUUUAAUCACAAAGGAUGUAUUUCCCUAAGUAGCACUUUUGGAGCAGGGGAAGGACGAAAACUGCUAUUCCCUCAUCCCCCUCCUAUAUGAUAUGCAUAUGCCUGAGUUAUAUAAAGACAUUUAGGUCGUUAAUGGGCAUGUUAAUAAGAGCGUUCUGAUGCAAAUUCAUUUUCAAAAUGAUAAUAUUUUUUCCUUCCCCAAAGUGAAAAAUGGCAGAAAUCUUGGUGAACUGAGCACCAUAGUUAUAUAUAAUAUUUCCCUGCUAAGGUCUAGUUUGAAGAAAAAAAAAAACUUGAAAACAAACCUGUAAGGUUGAGCCUGGGUUGCUAUAAAGACUGUGGUGGUGUGUGCUUCUGGGAUGAGCUGUAGAAGGCAUAGUUGACUUCCGGACCUUGGAUAUUCUUACUCAGUUCAAUAUAAACAGAAAAACAAGCUGGUGCCCGUGGUGCUUUAUAGUGCAGUCAAGAGUAAAAAUACAUGUUGUUGCAGCCCCAUUUCCUUCACAAACACUCGCACAAUUUUCAAAAGAGGAAGUUGCUGUGGCCUCUGUUUUCCCAGCUUCUCCGUGGUAUGAAGUCCCAGUUUUUAGAAGCUGAAGCCAAUCUUAGGGUGCAUCGUCUCUGUGGUGUGGAGGCCCAGCACUGCACUAGCUGCCUGGGGGAAUGACCCCCUCCGAACACGCAGAGCUCAGACUCACUGUCCAUCUGUGUUCCCAGAGAACAAUGUGAAGAGUCCUAGAACAGGAACUCAUCAGACUGUCAGGGGCCUAUGUAGCCAAAACGUCACUGAAUAGAAAACUUCUGUUGUCUUCAGUCCUCAUGCUUUGUCACUGUAAAGCGAACAAAACAUUUUUACUAUAAUUUAAAGGAGCUGCUUUUUUAUAGCACAUACUACUUCGCUUUGUACUAUAUUUGAUAGUUG
rnacentral:lncRNA from 1 species